GACGAACGCUGGCGGCGUGCUUAAUACAUGCAAGUAGGACGCAGUUGCGAACGGGUGAGUAACGCGACGGUCACUACCUAUUAGUGGGGGAUAACAAUUGGAAACGAUAGCGAAUACCGCAUACUAGUAGAUGGACCUGCGUUGUAUUAGCGAGUAGGUAGGGUAAUGGCCUACCUAGGCAACGAUACAUAGCCGGCCUGAGAGGGUGGUCGGCCACACUGGGACUGGGACACGGCCCAGACUCCUACCGGAGGCAGCAGUAGGGAAACUUCGGCAAUGGGGGGAACCCUGACCGAGCAACGCCGCGUGAGUGAAGAAGGUUUUCGGAUCGUAAAGCUCUGUUGUGAAGGAAGCGGUACUUAACCAAAAAGGGACGGCUAACUACGUGCCAGCAGCCGCGGUAAUUC
rnacentral:rRNA from 1 species